GGGGUUGUGCUUAUUAGUAGAGUACUUGCCUAACAUGCAUGAAGUCCUGGGUUCAAUUCCCAGUAACACAG
rnacentral:tRNA from 1 species